UACAGAGGUGGCGAGCGUUGUUCGGAUUUACUGGGCGUAAAGGGCGCGUAGGCGGCGGCGUAUGCCGGGUGUGAAAUCCGUGGGCCCAACCCACGAACUGCGCCCGUAACUGCGUUGCUAGAGUACGGGAGGGGGGAUCGGAAUGCAGGGUGUAGCGGUGAAAUGCGUUGAUAUCCUGCAGAACACCGGAGGCGAAGGCGGAUCCCUGGAACGUUACUGACGCUGAGGCGCGAAAGCAGGGGGAGCAAACAGGAUUAGAUACCCUGGUAGUCCCUGCCCUAAACGGUGUGCACUUGGCGCUGCGGGAAUUCACCCCUGCAGUGCCGAAGCUAACGUGUUAAGUGCACCGCCUGGGGAGUACGGCCGCAAGGCUAAAACUCAAAGAAAUUGACGGGGGCCCGCACAAGCGGAGGAGCAUGUGGCUUAAUUCGAUGCAACGCGAAGAACCUUACCCGGGUUUGACAUGUGACUGCACGUCCUAUGAAAGUAGGACUCCUUCGAGGGUGUCACACAGGUGCUGCAUGGCU
rnacentral:rRNA from 1 species